CUUCAUUCCGAUGACAGCCUUCAUGCUGCAACCUGCAGCAGGAAAAUGGGCUUCAGUUUUCAAGUCUGCAGCUGAGUUGGGAAGUUGCGGACAGUAACCAGUAAUACACAAUAUUGGCAACAAUGCAACAAAAUGGACACACUCUACUCUCCAGCGGGAGUGUUAAAAAAACGAAAAGAAGAGAAAGAAAAAAGGAAAGAAGCAGAAGGAAGAACUCUGCUGCAGUACUGGAAGCAGGCAGAUUAUUUAAAUUACGGUGGUGCCAUGGAACAAGAGAAGGCAGAUGAAGAGCGACACCCUUCAAGUUAACACAGGAACAAUUAACAAUAGAAUCCUUAAGAUGCAAAACUCCUUGCUGUUUACCAGCAACAGAAGAGAGGAAGAAGUGGCUCUGGGGGAAUUGCGUGCCAGUCUGCGGCAGGUUGGCUGGAGAAGCAGCCCUGGUUGGAGCUUUGGAGAGACACAUGUGCAUUUACUUGUUACCUGGAAGACCUUUUAAAAAAAAUUCUCGUAAAUCUGUCAUUUGUGUAUCCUCAAGGUUUGUGGCAGAAAGCAGAUAUAUCUGCUCCUGUGUGUAAUUGUUGUUAAAAAACACAAAAAGGAAAUAAAAGUGCACAACAUACCUA
rnacentral:lncRNA from 1 species